AGUGAACGCUGGCGGUAGGCCUAACACAUGCAAGUCGAACGGCAGCACAGUAAGAGCUUGCUCUUACGGGUGGCGAGUGGCGGACGGGUGAGGAAUACAUCGGAAUCUACUUUUUCGUGGGGGAUAACGUAGGGAAACUUACGCUAAUACCGCAUACGACCUACGGGUGAAAGCAGGGGAUCUUCGGACCUGGCGCGAUUGCAUGAGCCGAUGUCGGAUUAGCUAGUUGGCGGGGUAAAGGCCCACCAAGGCGACGAUCCGUAGCUGGUCUGAGAGGGUGAUCAGCCACACUGGAACUGAGACACGGUCCAGACUCCUACGGGAGGCAGCAGUGGGGAAUAUUGGACAAUGGGCGCAAGCCUGAUCCAGCCAUACCGCGUGGGUGAAGAAGGCCUUCGGGUUGUAAAGCCCUUUUGUUGGGAAAGAAAAGCAGCAGGUUAAUACCCCGCUGUUCUGACGGUACCCAAAGAAUAAGCACCGGCUAACUUCGUG
rnacentral:rRNA from 1 species